rnacentral:rRNA from 1 species
UACAGAGGUCUCAAGCGUUGUUCGGAUUUACUGGGCGUAAAGGGCGCGUAGGCGGCCACCGCAAGUCGACUGUGAAAUCUCCGGGCUUAACCCGGAAAGGUCAGCCGAUACUGCGGGGCUAGAGUGCAGAAGGGGCAACUGGAAUUCUCGGUGUAGCGGUGAAAUGCGUAGAUAUCGAGAGGAACACCUGCGGCGAAGGCGGGUUGCUGGGCUGACACUGACGCUGAGGCGCGAAAGCUAGGGGAGCGAGCGGG